CGCCCCGUCACACAGCUCCAUCUUCUCCGAUUGGAAUUUAAUUACCUUCACCAGCGAAUGUUUGGAGAACCUCUCUCCAUCAAUUGAUUCUGAAGUCAGAUUUUUAUUCCGAGAUACUUAAUGGCACUUGGGCUGAUGGAAGCCUGGGAGCAGGUGGACCUGGGCCACAAGGAGCCCUUUAACAACAGGGUGAGGAAGGGUCAUUGCGGAUAUUCCCCUGCCUCUGAGCAGGUCAAUAUUUCAGGCACCCCAGACAGUUGGAAGUAUCGCAUUCCUGAGCCUCCUGCUGGUCUGGACUGGAAGUUCUUUCUGAUGUCUGCUUGAUGCUGGGAGACGGUGCUGGAGGAGCAGCACAGGACGAGGAAGGGCUUCUCUUGCAGGCUCCUCAGUGAGGUGUCCCGCAGCAUCCAGCCUCCUGCAGCAGCCCAGAGAGUGGCCUGCCAGAGAGUUCCACCCACACCGGCACUUCAGCAAACUUUCCUGCAGCCAGGGCGCCUCGGCUGUACCAUCUCUAACAAGGGCCAAUGCUGCUCCCCAAGCUGGGACCCUCAGAGCCACACCAUGGCGGCUUGGAAGGUGGCAGGGCUGCAGAAGAGGCUGUGGAGGAACUUGGAGCGUGACUCCAAAGGACGACAAGCAGAGGAACCCUGGGCAUGUCAAGCCUCCCCUGUGCCCCUUUACCACCCCGUACCAGGGCCCUGCUUCUCCUGCAGGCUCUGAAUAAGCCUCCAAGUUGCCGCCAGAUUGCCCAGCACCCAGAUGACUUUCCAGCAAAGAAACUUAAGGAUGCAUAGUCCUUCAGGAUGGAUUUCUGCCUUUGCCCCAUGAAAUCUCCCGAGAUACAGACCCCAGAGCAUGGACCUCUCUUAGGUACUGGGCCACCCUCCUACCCCAGCCGGGCUUAGAAUUCUUCCCAGUGUAUCCCCCCCACCCUGGUCCAUCAGGACCCCCAGAUCCUCUUCCUCUCUCAAGUCAGUCUCUGCCACCUCACUCUUCAGCUGUCCUCUGUGCUGUGACAGUCCUUCUUACCACAUCUCCCCUGGCUGGCCUGUCCUUGAGGCUUGGGCUGAAACCAUCAGCAAGACCUUUGUCUCCUUUCCUACUGGCCUUCCCUGCUCCCCACCCGUAGGUCCCCACUCCAUGCCUUAUGGGUGGUCUGGCCCACACUCCAGCCAGAGCCACCAGGACAUUUCCAAAUUACAUCCUUCAAGAAUCAGGAAGAGAUUUCAGAAGGAAAUUGCUUUCUCCCCUGCUCAGUCCAAAUGAGACUAUUUUUUACUUGUCUUGCCCCUCCCCCACCUCUCUCUCUUGCAAUUUCAGUAAAAAAUGAGAACAGUAGAAAGCGGACCCCCUCGUUGGUCAGCCUUUCUCCCUCCUGAGGUCUGCAGAGGCCUGAAGGCAUCAGCUGGGCUAGGGCAGCACCGGCUCCAUUCCUGCGGACAGGCUGUACUCCAGGGCUCCAUAAGCCCAGAGGCCAGGUCCGGGGAGCUGCAGGAGAGGGCAGACUUGGGGGACAGGGGGAGCCUGUGGCUAGAGAGAGUCAGGCAAACCUGUGAAGUAGGAGCCUCACUUUGUCUCCUGAUGCCCCUCUCCCUCCAGGAAUGUCCUCCAUUGCCUCCAGGUCCCUACAGGUCUCAGGUCAGAGGCAAGACAUCCAGGACAUCUAAUGCUCCAUCUAUGCCACCUGUGCCAGGCCUCUGAAGGUCACCCCUUCAAGAAAGCACCAGCCUGAGUCAGGGGGCCCGAGCUCCAGCCCUGCUCAGAAUGCCACUGCUCUCUCUGCUUCAGUCGUCUCACCCAGAAGUGAGGCCACCUCCAGAGUUGGGGCCAGGAUCAGAUGGGAUGAUGCAGGUGCAGGCGCCUUGUAAAGAGUGCAGGCUGCUGUUUGCUGACCACUCAUGCCGUGCCAUGCCCUGUGCUGAGUGCUUAAGUGUGUAAUCUCAUUUUGUCUUCACAAGAAUCUUCCAGGAGAGUCUAUUGUCAUUUCAUCUAAAGAGAAGGGAUCAAAGCUCAGGGAGGCCAUGGAACUGCCUAAAGGCACACAGCGGCCGAGACCUCAAAUCCCUGUUCUUAACCCUGUUCACACUGUGUUGUCAGGUGCUAGUCUGAGUUUUGUUAAAGGUACCUUUGAAGAACUAUUGAUAUGGUUAGGCUUUGUGUCCCCACCCAAAUCUCAUCUUGAAUUGUAAUCCCCGUAAUCCCCACAUGUCAAGGAGAAAACAGGUGGAGGUAACUGAAUAGUGGGAUCAGUUUCCCCCAUGCUGGUAUCAUGAUAAUGAGUUCUUAUGAGAUCUGAUGGUUUUAUAAGGGGCUCUUCCCCUUGGCUGAGCUUCUUCUUCCUGCCACCUUGUGAAGAAGGUGCUUGCUUCCCCUUCACCUUCCACCACGAUUGUAAGUUUCCUGAGGCCUCCCCAGCCAUGCGGAACUGUGAGGCAGUUAAGCCUCUUUCCUUUAUAAAUUACCCAGUCUUGGACAGUUCUUUAUAGCAGUAUGAAAAUGGACUAAUACAAUUAUCACCCCAAGAGAUAAGUGCAGGAGGAAUUUCAGGCUGUGCAUGUGUGGAGGAGACACGGGGUUGAGGAGAGCUUCUAGAAUUCCUCAAAUGACAAUAAUAGUGGCCAACUUGUGCAGGCUGUGUGCUAACCUGCACACAGUUAGCCUGCACAGGUUAGCCACUAUUAUUGUCAUUUGCUAGCCACUCUGAUGCUGUGGCUGACUAUGUGCAGGACUCUGCUAAAUUCUUUCUCUUGUUAACUCAUUUAAUACUUACCAUCCUCUAAGACAGGUACUGUUAUCAUCUCCAGUGUGCAGAUGGAAAAGCUGAGGCACAGAGAGGUGGCUUAAGGCAUUCAAAGGCAUGUGACUAGUUAGCCUCUGCCCCUUACAGCCUCAGCCACGACACCGAGGGAGCUACUUCUCCUCCCACUGACUCCUCUUCCUGAACCAGAAUGUACCUUGUGGGAGUUGUGGGACAAGGAAUAAAUGGGGGGCUAAUUGUCAGAAUAAGAACCCCAGACCCAGGACCCACAGUGAGGAUGGGGAUGUCUCUGCCCUGACUUUCAGGUCAAAAUCACCUUCUCUGUCUAUCACACCCCUCUCCCCCGACACCCAACAUAACACCUAUAGUCCAUGCUGUUCAAGGCUGUGGUGCUGAAGGAGGGGGUGUGGACUGGGUACCCUGGGACACAGGGCUGCUUGGCUGUUAGUCUCCUGGUUCCUCCCACCCCACCCCGGAGCCUCCCAAUCUCCCUCUUGAGUGUGUCCCAUCUCUGGCUCUCUGUGCCAGUUGCCCUUGUUUCCCUUACCCCCAUCCAUCCCUUUUCCUGGCACCAAGCUUCAGAUUGCAGGGUCACCUCAGCCACUGGACAGUCACAGGGAGCCAAGGACAAAAGGACCAGUGACAUCACUUGGGAAUGAGACCAGGAAGUUCAAGCCUGGCUGACGGGGCCAGGGAGGGGAGAGCUAACCAGGAGAUGACAGGUUCACCAACCUGUCAACAAGAGUGUAUCUAGACCCAGCAAUGCUAGGCUGUGGCUGAGCAAGUCACAUGGACUGUUAACCAAGGGGUCUAUCGGGGCAGCAGCAGCAAGGGACCUCCCCUGUAAUGCAAGACUUCUGUCACCUCAAGCUUCUUCUCCA
rnacentral:lncRNA from 1 species